rnacentral:rRNA from 1 species
AGUGAACGCUGGCGGCAGGCCUAACACAUGCAAGUCGAGCGGCAGCGGGUUCCCGCGAGGGGAUGCCGGCGAGCGGCGGACGGGUGAGGAACACAUCGGAAUCUGCCUGGUUGUGGGGGAUAACGUAGGGAAACUUACGCUAAUACCGCAUGCGACCCUGAGUCGACGGACUAGGGGUGAAAGUGAGGGACCUUCGGGCCUCACGCGACCAGAUGAGCCGAUGUCGGAUUAGCUAGUUGGCGGGGUAACGGCCCGCCAAGGCGACGAUCCGUAGCUGGUCUGAGAGGAUGAUCAGCCACACUGGGACUGAGACACGGCCCAGACUCCUACGGGA